rnacentral:tRNA from 4 species
GCGCUCGUAGCUCAACUGGAUAGAGCGACAGACUUCGGAUCUGUAGGUUAUGGGUUCGAUUCCUAUCGAGCGCACCA